CCCAGUUGGAUUUCCAUUUAUCGGGCAGGGAAGCAAAAUAAACUACUUUUGACGGAUCCAAUGAUAAUGAGGAGUUGUGAUUGGUUUUCAGCAUUUGGUAACGUCACUUGCGGUUUGUGUGGUUUGUUCAUUUCUUUUGUAGUCUUUUUUCCCACGUUGCCGAAAAAUAGUUCUAUGCAAUAUAAAACGUGAUAUUGAAGUGAAAGUUACUGUUCAUGCAAUUUCAUAAGGUAAUCCAGGCCGCCUCUGAGAGAGAAGAUAUUUCAGUCAAUCAGAGGAACUUUUGUAACAUUCCAUACUUCCUAUGGGCCUUCCUAGCCUGCAAAUCAGUCAAAACUCAAAAGGCCAAAAACGGCUGCUUUGCAAGCUAAGGCCUUCCAAGAUAUACUUGAAUCCACACUUAGGGCCUGUUUAUAUGAUCCCGGCCAGGCGGGACGGGAUGCUUACCGAGAUCCCGCGCGUAAUACAAAUUUUAAAGAGUGCAUGUUUAUAUGAUCCCGCGGGAUCUCGGCAACAGAUGCCGGGAUCUCGGCAACAGAUGCCGGGAUCCCGCCUACUAAGCGAGAUGAAAAAUUCCCAUAUAAACACUUCAUCCACAUCCCAUCCAUCCCUUUUGAGCA